rnacentral:lncRNA from 1 species
AGCAAACAUACCUCCUGCAUUAUAGUUUACACCGUAGUACGGGCCACCAUAGAAAUCGCAUCUUAUCUGUGCUGCAUAAACCGGCAUCUAGAGUUGGUAUAUUUUCUUGGUCAGAAGCUCCACCUGAGCUGCCAAGGCUGCUGUGGAAUCUAGCUGGUUGACCACUCCCUGCUUGACUGGCCGACUCCUAGAGGAUUGCCACUAGUAGUUAUUCAUGGUCAUCUCC